ACCUUCGGGCCUCUUGCCAUCGGAUGUGCCCAGAUGGGAUUAGCUAGUAGGUGGGGUAACGGCUCACCUAGGCGACGAUCCCUAGCUGGUCUGAGAGGAUGACCAGCCACACUGGAACUGAGACACGGUCCAGACUCCUACGGGAGGCAGCAGUGGGGAAUAUUGCACAAUGGGCGCAAGCCUGAUGCAGCCAUGCCGCGUGUAUGAAGAAGGCCUUCGGGUUGUAAAGUACUUUCAGCGGGGAGGAAGGGAGUAAAGUUAAUACCUUUGCUCAUUGACGUUACCCGCAGAAGAAGCACCGGCUAACUCCGUGCCAGCAGCCGCGGUAAUACGGAGGGUGCAAGCGUUAAUCGGAAUUACUGGGCGUAAAGCGCACGCAGGCGGUUUGUUAAGUCAGAUGUGAAAUCCCCGGGCUCAACCUGGGAACUGCAUCUGAUACUGGCAAGCUUGAGUCUCGUAGAGGGGGGUAGAAUUCCAGGUGUAGCGGUGAAAUGCGUAGAGAUCUGGAGGAAUACCGGUGGCGAAGGCGGCCCCCUGGACGAAGACUGACGCUCAGGUGCGAAAGCGUGGGGAGCAAACAGGA
rnacentral:rRNA from 1 species